rnacentral:tRNA from 1 species
GCUCGUGUGGCAAAGUGGUACCGCGUUCCACUCGUAUUCGUAUUCGAAAAGCGUUAAUGGAAAGAUUCGUCGGUUCGAUCCCGACCGCGAGCA